rfam:Macaca mulatta chromosome X, whole genome shotgun sequence.
UGGGGCAUGAACCUGGCAUACAAUGUAGAUUUCUGUGUUCGUUAGGCAACAGCUACAUUGUCUGCUGGGUUUCAGGCUACCUGG